GGCCGCGGUAUCCUAACCGUGCAAAGGUAGCAUAAUCACUUGUCCUCUAAAUAAGGACUAGAAUGAACGGCYAAAUGAGGACUAAACUGUCUCUUGCAGCCGGCCAAUGAAACUGAUCUCCUAGUCCAAAAGCUAGGAUAAAWUCAUAAGACGAGAAGACCCUGUGGAGCUUUUAAACCAAACCCAAAACUAGUGGCACUCUGGUUUUCAGBUGGGGSGACUUCGGAGAAAAAUAAAACCUCCGACACAAUAAUCCCAUUGCCAAGAUUUACACAUCAAAACACCACCUAAGAUCCAGUAAUCUGCCCAAUUAUCUGACCAACGAACCAAGUUACCCCAGGGAUAACAGCGCCAUCCCCUCCUAGAGUCCAUAUCAACAAGGGGGUUUACGACCUCGAUGUUGGAUCAGGACACCCAAAUGGUGUAGCCGCUAU
rnacentral:rRNA from 1 species